UACGGAGGGUGCAAGCGUUGCUCGGAAUUACUGGGCGUAAAGCGUACGCAGGCGGUCUGAUAAGUCGGGUGUGAAAGCCCCAGGCUCAACCUGGGAACUGCAUCCGAAACUGCCAGACUUGAGUUCGGGAGAGGGAAGUGGAAUUCCUGGUGUAGAGGUGAAAUUCGUUGAUAUCAGGAGGAACACCGGCGGCGAAAGCGGCUUCCUGGCCCGAUACUGGAGCUCAUGUACGAAAGCGUGGGGAGCAAACAGG
rnacentral:rRNA from 1 species